GCUCGUCCUCCCAGGGUUAGUCGGGACCUAAGCUGAGGCCGAUAGGCGUAGGCGAUGGACAACAGGUUGAUAUUCCUGUACCAGUUGCUUUUGUUUGAGCGAUGGAGGGACGCAGGAGGCUAAGGAGUGCACACGAUCGGAAAUGUGUGUCCAAGCAGCAAGUCUGAGAACGAGUGCAAUGCUUUUUCUCUCAAGGACAAGUUGUGAUGGGGAGCGAAAUUUAGUAGCGAAGUUCCUGAUGUCACACUGCCAAGAAAAGCUUCUAGUGAGAAAGUAACUGCCCGUACCGCAAACCGACACAGGUAGUUGAGGAGAGAAUCCUAAGGUGUGCGAGAGAACUCUCGUUAAGGAACUCGGCAAAGUGACCCCGUAACUUCGGGAGAAGGGGUGCUAACCGCAAGGUCAGCCGCAGUGAAUAGGCCCAAGCGACUGUUUAUCAAAAACACAGGUCUCUGCAAAAUCGAAAGAUGACGUAUAGGGGCUGACGCCUGCCCGGUGCUGGAAGGUUAAGAGGAGAGGUUAGCGCAAGCGAAGCUUUGAAUUGAAGCCCCAGUAAACGGCGGCCGUAACAAUAACGGUCCUAAGGUAGCGAAAUUCCUUGUCGGGUAAGUUCCGACCCGCACGAAAGGCGUAACGAUUUGGGCACUGUCUCAACGAGAGACUCGGUGAAAUUAUAGUACCAGUGAAGAUGCUGGUUACCCGCGACAGGACGGAAAGACCCCAUGGAGCUUUACUGCAGUUUGAUAUUGAGUGUUUGUAUCACAUGUACAGGAUAGGUAGGAGCCGAAGAUACCGGGACGCCAGUCUCGGAGGAGGCAACGGUGGGAUACUACCCUUGUGAUAUGACCACUCUAACCCGCUGCUCUUAGCGAGCAGGGAGACAGUGUCAGACGGGCAGUUUGACUGGGGCGGUCGCCUCCAAAAAUGUAACGGAGGCGCCCAAAGGUUCCCUCAGAAUGGUUGGAAAUCAUUCGUAGAGUGUAAAGGCAGAAGGGAGCUUGACUGCGAGACCUACAGUCGAGCAGGGACGAAAGUCGGGCUUAGUGAUCCGGUGGUUCCGCAUGGAAGGGCCAUCGCUCAACGGAUAAAAGCUACCCUGGGGAUAACAGGCUUAUCUCCCCCAAGAGUUCACAUCGACGGGGAGGUUUGGCACCUCGAUGUCGGCUCAUCGCAUCCUGGGGCUGUAGUUGGUCCCAAGGGUUGGGCUGUUCGCCCAUUAAGGCGGUACGCGAGCUGGGUUCAGAACGUCGUGAGACAGUUCGGUCCCUAUCCGUCGCGGGCGUUGGAAAUUUGAGAGGAGCUGUCCUUAGUACGAGAGGACCGGGAUGGACACACCGCUGGUGUACCAGUUGUUCUGCCAAGAGCAUCGCUGGGUAGCUAUGUGUGGACGGGAUAAACGCUGAAAGCAUCUAAGCGUGAAACCCCCCUCAAGAUGAGAUUUCCCAUCACUUUAAGUGAGUAAGACCCCUGAGAGAUGAUCAGGUAGAUAGGUUGGGAGUGGAAGUACAGCGAUGUAAGGAGCGGACCAAUACUAAUCGGUCGAGGACUUAACC
rnacentral:rRNA from 1 species